UACCACAAUUUUAUAAACAUAACAGAAAGGAAGCCUUAACACCAAAUUUCUCUAAAAAUGUUAAUAGACAGCUAGCCAAUUGGUGGUAACCCUUGUCCAAGCUUCUGCUUCUAAGGUAUGAGAAAGUGCUUUCUGCCCUGCAGAACCACCUGUGUUCAACAGCCGAGGACUGUUGCUGUAGGGCAUGUAGAUCUUUAUUAUCUAAUCGCUAAUCCCUUAUUAUCUAAACAUAUUAUAGGCUGUAUUGUUACAAGUAAGGCAAGAAUUAUUUUGUCACCACCUUCCCAGGCAGACUGGAUCUAAGCCUGUGGAGCCAAACCAGCCCCACCUCAUUCUGUGGUCACUCCUAGCUGCACUGGUUCAUUCCUUUCUUUCAUCUUGAUUUUCCUUUUAUUCUCAUCUCUUCUGACCUCACUUUGGCAACCAGACGUACUUUCUAAAACAUUCUAUGAGGAGUUCUUAUAACAUGUACAAAAGCCUAUUAGCAUUACUACAUCUCCUCAGGCAUCCUCUUUCUCCAUUUCUGCCUUUUUCUUUAUGUAAGUAUCAAUCAAUCUCUCUCUCUCUCCUUUUUUUUUUUAACUGAUGUUUGCACACCACUUAGUCUAAUAGGGUUUUGGUCUCUCAGGUGCAGCUGCAUGGAGCAGUAACCCGGUAGGAUAUAUGAAGCAGACAGGUGUAAUUUAAGCCCCUGGCAAAUACAAAUGAAAAGAGAAGCUGAGCAAAAGUAGAAAACCCACCGCUACUAUUUGAGGUAGUCAGAAUUAGCUAUCAGACCAGGCACUGGACCUGCAGUAAACAGGAAACGUACCCAUCAGAUGUGUUCAUAUUAGGCAUUAAAUAUAUCACGACAGUGCCAAGAAGCUUAGCGCACUGGGUGAUACCUAAACAGCCACCAGAUGAAGCUUCUGUCAGAGGGGGAUUUUCACUGUGAGCCAAAUAGGUUUUAUAAAAUAGGAAAAUAUCUCUAGGAACAGGUUUAUAGUGAAAAAAAUAUCGUUAUGAUUUUUUAGCUUGGGCAUAAUGCUCAACAAAACUCCCAUGUUUCAUGUUUCUGUUGCCAGGCUGGAAAUUAAAGGGUUUGGUUAUAGCCACCAAAACACAAAAGCAGCAGAUAUUUCAUGCUUUCGUCUCUGCAACCCACUCAGUAGCUUUUACAAGUAAACAACCUGCCACAUGGAAUACUCACUGUAAAGCCUACACUCUUUUGUUAGGACUAAGUUGUCCAAUGACAAUGUUUUACGGAUUCCUUCCCUUUCAGGAAAAAUAAAUUAAUUGGCCAAGCAAUUCCUCUUCAUAUCAUACUGUGCUAUUCCUCAUUCCUGCAUAACAUUGUCUUCUCUGGAUAAAUAACAUUUGACUUUCACAUUUUGAGACCUGCUUCUAGAUGCCUUUCAGAUUGCUGUACCUCACCAGUUUGUUAUCAUGGACGCCUAUCUCAGAAGGAUGCUUUAAAAACUUCUGUUUAUUUCAGUCUCACAGGCUGCUCUGACGUGCAGAUAUCUGCAAAUCUGUAAGGUAUGAAUCAUCUCACACAUUGCCGAGGUGAAACCUGACAACUAUUUAACAGCACCACUGCAACACUAUGGAACAUUUUAAGACAGGAAAUUAAGAAUACCUGAGCCAACGAAAGCCACAGGGGAAAGUUUAGAUGGACAGAAUGUAAUUACCCAUGCUGGAACUUGGCCAGGACACCAGAACUUACACCCCAACCCUCCUGUAAAGUGCCAUCGGACCCUUAAUGCUAACAAAUGGUCGCAACAUCAGCUUUAGAUCUGCUCCAAAUGAGAACAGCACUAAAAGUCAUCCAAGACCUUCUGAGGUAUUCAUUUACUAGUGACUGACAGAAAAGGGUACAACAUACCUAAUCACACAAAACAGCUAUAGCACAACAUGAAAAAUACCUUCCCUAGCAGCACUGGAGGCUAGUUCUCUCGACACAGCUCAAUAUUUUUAGAAGAACUCGGUGUAUUUUCAGAAAUGCAUCAAUGAUUUUGUUAAAAAAAAAAAAAAAAAAAAAAAAAAGCACAUUUCAUUAUCUCAGAACUCAAAGUAUAUCCUUAUGGCCCCUAUGGAGCGCCCAGAUAUACUGAUAUACUUCAGUUCUUAGCUUCUUGCUUCUUGCCAUUUGUAGUGUGGAAAAGAGAUGUAUAUUGAAUAUCAGAGUGCUGACUUUAAAGGGAAGAUAAAAGCCUGAAAGUAUAUACUGCUUUGCUUCUCACAUUGUUUUUCUAAGGAAAACUGUAUACUGUUUAACAUUUAUUUUUGGCAAAGCUAAAAUUUUCUGUGGGUUAUCUUUUCUAUAAGAACUGGAUUUCUACAAAUUGUGAUUCUUGAAAUUCCUUAGGCUGAGGAAUUAUGUCAGCCCUGAAAAACAUGGGUUCAUUAUUCACAUCGUGUUACACUGCUGACAUAAUUCCCUAACAGAGUGGGACAUGAGGUGUCCCAGUUUGAUACUUCAACCUACAGUCAAUGCUUUCGGCUUCUCUAAAUAGUAAACAGUUUUGUGUGUGAGUUCCUGUUUUAAAAAUCCUUUGAGCAGUAUAUCUAUAUUAAAAAAAGAAAAUCUGGGUUAGCUGUGGGCCACCAGCAAUUUAUCAGGCAGUAUUAGUUAUGUCUGUGGGAUAUUUUUCAUUAUCUGAGGAUUAUUAAUAGAGACACCGUAUACAUAGUGAUUAUUCCUUGACUAAUAAUUGAGAUAAUAUCGAUAUGAAGCCCAGUUUCAUUAACACCUUACUAAAGAGACUAUGAUUGUGAAGGGUAUUUUUUCCCUCCAAUUUGUAAUCAAAAGUUAUUUAAUAGUAAAAUCAGUCUUCACUUGUAACAGAGGUUGUGGACUUUGGGAGUUGGCAGAGCCAGCUGCUGGGCUGCUGGGAGCCAGACUCUUUUUGAUCUUCAUAUUGAAUGGUUUCCUUUGAUCACCUUGACAAUAGAUCAUAAAAGAACAGAGCUUUUACCCAUAUCUCCCUAAAUUUGCAGGUAAAUAAUGAGAUGGUCUGAACUGAGGCUGGAGUGUAAGAUUUUUAACAAACAAUUCUCCCCUUUGAAGUAGACUUAGCAAAAUUAGCAUAUAAAUGAGCAAUGCUGCUACAUAAGGACAUGUGGCUGAAGAAUAGGGAUAAUUGGACUGAGGGGGUUAGUUUCUAAAUGAGGUCGUUUGCUAAAUGACCAGCAGUUAGACUACAGGUGUGUUAAUUUGGUGAGUUGAAGAUGAGAUUUAAACAAUGGGGUAUGCAAAAGUCAGGGACCCCCAGCAGGUGUGGGGAGGAUUGUAGCUUUGUAGCUGAGCAGGGACCUGCAGAGUUGGAUGGGAGGCAGUGCAGGUGACAGGGACUACUCUGACACAGACCAUACCUCUGUAGGCACAGGUAUCCUAACUGGCACUGUAAUGUCAGGCUGUGGUCCAUCACAUUAAUAUUCAUGAUGAUUGUCUUUAAAUAUACAAUGCUAUUCAAAAUGCUCAUCAAUAAGUCUCUUCAAAGCUGCAGCAGGAGCUCUGUUUUUAGUGUCUGUGAAGAAGGACUGGGAUGUCGAAAUAUCUGCACUGGUGGCUGCUGCCAGGGGCCGAACUCAAUGUGAAAAGCCAGAACCACGGCUGAGCAUUGUAGUAACAGCUUACCACUGUAUUAACAGCUCUGAGCCUCUCAGCUUUUCAUUUCACCAAAAUUGUGGGAAUUUUGCCUACACCAGAGAGAAGUUUCCACAUUAUCAUAGGGUACCUUGAGCUCUCUCCUCUCUCCAUGACAGGGACAAACCUCCUGCCACCAAAAUGACCCUGUCCUUCCAUGGUACAGACAUAAGACUGGAGCAUUCUCAGUAACAGAGUUUUCUGAUUUUAAAAAUGAAAAAUAAGUUAAAUUUUGUAAUAUGAUUUAAAUCACCUUUCAAGCAAAGUUUCGGGAAAUCCUUGAAAGAAACAUACUCAGUUCACUGGGACUUGCUUCUUUAUGUACUUUAACAACAGCCAGAUUUAGGAUUGACAGGGAGUAGAUGAAGGGAUCAUGGUCCUGAUGACACUUGAACAGCCAAAGGGAUAGCAUUUUCUGGGUGGCUUCAAACCUGACCUUGAGUUCUCCCCCUGACUGGUUUGGAGAAAAGACAAGCACUGAGUAUCUGUGGAGGGCGUCAGCAUCCUCUGGGUGCAGCAACACUCUCCUGGUCCAGGCACUGUUGGGUUUGGUUUUGCCUUUCAACAAGAGAAGAUGAGAUCACUCUCCCUCCUGUGUAACCCUUGUGUAACAUGGAGACUGAGAACUGAAUCCAGCUUUUUAACACCUUAAGUGUUAAGGACAACGUUUUUGCCAAAAUAUAAAUUACCUCUAGCCUCUUGUGAAUUAAACUUGAAUCAGCGUUUCUGAACUGCUUUCCCCCACCCUAAUUCUCCUUUCUUGCCCUUGGAGACCUGUCUGGAUGGCACUCUGUACUACUGGUGAGCGUAGAUGCUGUCUGGGGUCUUUCUCUGCUGGAGCAGAGUCAGAGGUAUUUUUAGGAAGUAAAGAUGGGCUGGUGGGCUUCAGCAGUGUAUUGGCUUUUAUGUGGCUGGGAGGGGGGAGGUGUGUGUGUGGGUGGGGGGCACAGGGAUAGCCUCUAUGAGAAGAAACCAGAAGCUGCCCCAUGUUAGAUAAAGGCCAGUUUCAGCUGGCUCCAAAGGGACCCACUGCUGGCCAGAGCUGAGCCAAUAAGCAAUGCUGUUUGCACCUCGGAGACAGUAGACUGAAGAAAGGGAAAAAUACUGCUGGGCAACAGCAGCUGGGAGAGCAAGGAGUGAGAAAUGGCCCCGCAGUGAGUGCAGGAGGGCAGGAGGU